rnacentral:rRNA from 1 species
GUGGGGAAUAUUGGGCAAUGGGCGAAAGCCUGACCCAGCAACGCCGCGUGAAGGAAGAAGGUUUUCGGAUCGUAAACUUCUAUCCUUGGUGAAGAUAAUGACGGUAGCCAAGAAGGAAGCCCCGGCUAACUACGUGCCAGCAGCCGCGGUAAUACGUAGGGGGCAAGCGUUGUCCGGAAUGAUUGGGCGUAAAGGGCGCGUAGGCGGCCUGGUAAGUCUGGAGUGAAAGUCCUGCUUUUAAGGUGGGAAUUGCUUUGGAUACUGUCGGGCUUGAGUGCAGGAGAGGUAAGCGGAAUUCCCGGUGUAGCGGUGAAAUGCGUAGAGAUCGGGAGGAACACCAGUGGCGAAGGCGGCUUACUGGACUGUAACUGACGCUGAGGCGCGAAAGUGUGGGGAGCAAGCAGGAUUAGAAACCCUGGUAGUCC